UUCUCUACUCCACUCUCCGCUUUCCGUGUCCAUCUGAACGCACGUAGUCACGUCGUAUACGAAGAUCUUAAUAUAAGGGUUAUGUGGCACAAGAAUAAUUAACUUCAGAUUAAACAAUUGGCUCGAGUUGUAUGCGAGGAUUUAAAAACAUCGUGUAUAAGAUUAAUGAGACAAAUCUUCAGCAAUGAAUUAGCCAUGGAAUACAGCUGGUAUGGAGCGAAAAAGAAAAAUGUCUUCAGCAACUUACAAUUGUGUAAAGUAAUUAUAUGUAAAUAAAAUAUACAAUCAGAAUAUACA
rnacentral:lncRNA from 1 species